AGUGAACGCUGGCGGUAGGCCUAACACAUGCAAGUCGAACGGCAGCACAGUAAGAGCUUGCUCUUACGGGUGGCGAGUGGCGGACGGGUGAGGAAUACAUCGGAAUCUACUUUUUCGUGGGGGAUAACGUAGGGAAACUUCCGCUAAUACCGCAUACGACCUACGGGUGAAAGCAGGGGAUCUUCGGACCUUGCGCGAUUGCAUGAGCCGAUGUCGGAUUAGCUAGUUGGCGGGGUAAAGGCCCACCAAGGCGACGAUCCGUAGCUGGUCUGAGAGGAUGAUCAGCCACACUGGAACUGAGACACGGUCCAGACUCCUACGGGAGGCAGCAGUGGGGAAUAUUGGACAAUGGGCGCAAGCCUGAUCCAGCCAUACCGCGUGGGUGAAGAAGGCCUUCGGGUUGUAAAGCCCUUUUGUUGGGAAAGAAAAGCAGCAGGUUAAUACCCCGCUGUUCUGACGGUACCCAAAGAAUAAGCACCGGCUAACUUCGUG
rnacentral:rRNA from 1 species